rnacentral:rRNA from 1 species
CCCCUAGAUGUUCUGGGCCGCACGCGCGCUACACUGAACAGUUCAACAAGUCUUAACCUUGGCCGAUAGGUCUGGGUAAUCUUUGAACGCUGUUCGUGAUUGGGAUAGACCUUUGCAAUUAUGGGUCUUCAACGAGGAAUUCCUAGUAAACGCAAGUCAUCAGCUUGCAUUGAUUACGUCCCUGCCCUUUGUACACACCGCCCGUCGCACCUACCGAUUGAAUGGUCCGGUGAAAUCUCGGGACGGCGGCUUGGUCGCUUGCGUCCGACUGCUGAAGCUUGAUUAAACCAUAUCAUUUAGAGGAAGGUGAANUCGUAACA